GUGUAAAGGGCAGGUGUGUGUAGUAUGAAUGUGUGUAAAGGGCAGGUGUGUGUAGUAUGAAUGUGUGUAAAGGGCAGGUGUGUGUAGUAUCAGGUGUGUGUAAAGGGCAGGUGUGUGUAGUAUGAAUGUGUGUAAAGGGCAGGUGUGUGUAGUAUGAAUGUGUGUAAAGGGCAGGUGUGUGUAGUAUGAAUGUGUGUAAAGGGCAGGUGUGUGUAGUGUGAAUGUGUGUAAAGGGCAGGUGUGUGUAGUAUGAAUGUGUGUAAAGGGCAGGUGUGUGUAGUAUGAAUGUGUGUAAAGGGCAGGUGUGUGAAGUGUG